rnacentral:rRNA from 1 species
GAUCAUGGCUCAGGAUGAACGCUAGCUACAGGCUUAACACAUGCAAGUCGAGGGGAAACGACAUCGAAAGCUUGCUUUUGAUGGGCGUCGACCGGCGCACGGGUGAGUAACGCGUAUCCAACCUGCCCACCACUUGGGGAUAACCUUGCGAAAGUAAGACUAAUACCCAAUGAUAUCCCACGAAGGCAUCCGAAUGGGAUUAAAGAUUUAUCGCUGAAAGAUGGCCUCGCGUCUGAUUAGCUAGUUGGUGAGGUAACGGCCCACCAAGGCGACGAUCAGUAGCCGGACUGAGAGGUUGAACGGCCACAUUGGGACUGAGAUACGGCCCAGACUCCUACGGGAGGCAGCAGUGGGGAAUAUUGGGCAAUGGGGGAAGCCUGAACCAGCCAAGUAGCGUGCAGGAAGACGGCCCUAUGGGUUGUAAACUGCUUUCAGUCGGGAAUAAUUCGUCGGUCGUGACCGACGUUGCAGGUACCGUCAUAAGAAGGACCGGCUAAUUCCGUG